UACGGAGGGGGCUAGCGUUGUUCGGAUUUACUGGGCGUAAAGCGCACGUAGGCGGCUUUGUAAGUUAGAGGUGAAAGCCCGGGGCUCAACUCCGGAAUUGCCUUUAAGACUGCAUCGCUAGAAUUGUGGAGAGGUAAGUGGAAUUCCGAGUGUAGAGGUGAAAUUCGUAGAUAUUCGGAAGAACACCAGUGGCGAAGGCGACUUACUGGACACAUAUUGACGCUGAGGUGCGAAAGCGUGGGGAGCAAACAGG
rnacentral:rRNA from 1 species